rnacentral:lncRNA from 1 species
GGAGUUAGUGUGUUGGAGGUCUUGUGUUCGAAUCCUUGUGUGAGCGUGAGUGUAAAUUUUUGCUUUGGGUGUCUGAUAGAGGUUUGGAGGAACCAAAAUUCUGAGGUGGUUGAGAGUUAGUGGUUUAGUGGGGAGUGGGAGAAAAAGUAGGGACAGAUUUUCUGAAUUUCAAUUUUAGUUUUUCUCUUUUUCCAAAAUUUUCUUUCUCUGAUGUUUUUUUUCUUUUUCUGUUUUCCCACUUUCAAUUUUUGUUUCAUUCUUUCGAUUUUUGUCGAAAUUUAUCUUUCAAUUUACAAUACUUUAACGUUUUGAUUCCUUCGUGUUGCUAUAUAGGUAAGGGGUUCGUUGUGUUUUAGGGUAGUUUUGAUUUAUACUUUAGUCUCUGUUGGUGUACGAGGU